GAGGCAUCUGUUAGUGGAAGGGUGUUCAGUCAGCCUGUGGAUAGGCCACUGGCCCUUGGUGGUCAGACUGGGAGAUGUGUGUGCUCUGUCUUUUGGGGUGCCCUUAAACAUAUGUCUUCUCAGGGCCAUCACCAGUGUCCUGGAGUUUGUGGAGCUUGUCCACGGGGGCCUGCAGCUCAGGGCGAGGAACCCUACCCUGGUGCAUGCAGAUCAUUCCAGAUCUCACCCAAUCAUCAUGGUGACUCUGACUGCAGCCACCUCCUUGGCCAGCAUUGGCAGCCUGGUCAGACCCUCUCCGGGGAGCGAACAGGGACAGGAAAGAGCUGGAGCUCAGCUCACCAGGCUUCGCCUGGGCCCAUGCCCCUGGACCCGGUGGGCUGUAUGAAGCAAGUGUGGUCUAGGCUGCAGUUGGUGCACUUGGCCGGCAGUGAAUGUGCAGGAGGUGAUGCAAAGUUACUGGUGAUUCUCUGUGUGUCUCCUGAGCAGAAGCACAUGGCAGAGACACUGCAGAGCCUUGGGUUUGGGACCAGAGCUUGGCAGGUCAAGCGAGGACAAGCCAGGAAGAAGCCUCCCCACUCCCAGAUGAGAGAGUUGUGCCUGGGCUCGGCCUAGGAAUGAGCUCUCCUCCCUCAAAAUGUGCUUCUUGUGCCUGCUGUAUGAUGUGUGUGUCUGAUAAAUAAACAUGUUUUGCUGAGACUCAGUGAGUCUGGUUUUGUUCCCAGGGACCUGCA
rnacentral:lncRNA from 1 species